rnacentral:rRNA from 1 species
UACGGGGGGGGCUAGCGUUGUUCGGAUUUACUGGGCGUAAAGCGCACGUAGGCGGAUCGUUAAGUCGGGGGUGAAAUCCUGGAGCUCAACUCCAGAACUGCCUUCGAUACUGGCGAUCUUGAGUCCGGAAGAGGUGAGUGGAACUCCUAGUGUAGAGGUGGAAUUCGUAGAUAUUAGGAAGAACACCAGUGGCGAAGGCGGCUCACUGGUCCGGUACUGACGCUGAGGUGCGAAAGCGUGGGGAGCAAACAGG